AUGUCCCAAGAAGAGGUGCGCCUGCAGUCGAGAAGAGGAGAUGGCAAUGAAUAUGUUUAUAGAGUGGCUAACCAGCGAGGUUUUUGGGAGUUCUAUAAUUGUAAUCAAACAGGGCAUAUUAGCCGUUUCUGCAGAAGAGACAGAGGCCGAGGGUACAGUGUUGGCAGUAGCAGCCGAGGUGGUUGGAAUGGGAGUGGUGGUUCUUGGAAUGCUUCUCACUGGAAUGCUCCCAAGGCAAAUGUAGCUGCUUCAGCUGAAGGAAAGCAACAGGAGGACAGGAGACUGCUACUAGCUAUGCCAACUUUGUCGAUACAAAUGAAGGAGAGAUCGGCGGGCAGGAGCCUUGGAACUAUAAGGAGAUGGGACAUGUGUCUUUCGAUAAAGUGA
rnacentral:rRNA from 1 species